rnacentral:rRNA from 1 species
AGAGGGACGUCGGUUCUAUUAGACGCCGGAUUAUAGGAUCAAUAUCGGGUCUGUGAUGCCCUUAGAUGGUCUGGGCCGUACGCGCGCGUCACUGAUGCAUUCAAAGAGUUCUUCCAUGGCCGAGAGGCGGGGGCCCUCUUUUGUAUUUGCCUAGUGAUAGGGAUAGAUUAUUGCAAUUAUUAAUCUUGAACGAGGAAUUCCUAGUACAGGCAGAUCAUCAAUCUGCAUUGAUUACGUCCCUGCCCUUUGUACACACCGCCCGUCGCACCUACCGGUUGAAUGGACCGGUGAAGCCUCGGGAUUGUGGUAGUUUCCUUUAUUGGCAGGUAGCCACGAGAACCUGUCUAAACCUUAUCAUUUAGAGGAAGGUGAAGUCGUAACAAGGUUUCCGUAGGUGAACCUGCGGGAGGAUCA